AUAUUUAAUUUUAGGGUGUUUGUGAUUCAACAGAGAUGCGAAGUCUCAAUCACUACCAAGGAGUCUUGGUGAUGAACUGGGAGAUGGUGCCAUGUGAAACUUCCAAUGCUAAUGUCUCGAAGACCAGUCACGCCAACUGCUAGAGAUUUUCUGACACAUCGAUGGUCUUAUCAGUUUGGACAUGAAAUAAAAGAAGCAAAGAUAGCAAGUGGUAUAGAAAACUUGGAGCUAUGAAAGAGUACUUCAUCAACAAAUGCAUGGUGAAUUGGUAACCUGCAGAAUAAGAUGACUGUCUCAAGUAUGUCUCUCUGAUUUUUUAGGUAAUAUCCUUCCAAAAAGAUUUUAGUUAUUUGAGUUUUAAUAGACAAGUCAAUGUGAUUUUGAAUGAACUAUUGUCUCUCUUCAUUGGGUUCAUGCUGGUGCCUUAUCACCAAUUAUUUCAGAUAAAAGAUGGCUUUUGGCAUGUACCAAUUUAUCUAUAUAUACAUACAUAUGAUUAGACUUGGGAGCAAAGCAACACAAAGUCUUCUAAGUCCCAACUCCCAAGCAUCUCUAGGCUCUAUUUUUUUCUUUUCACAAAAUUGAAAUCUUCAUUGUUGGUUUUCUAAUCUAGAAAAUCAAAACAAUGGGUUUCCGAUUGUCUGGCAUCAUUUAUGCUAAGAAAAACCAAGUUCCUUCAAAGGCCUUGUAUGUUCCUAAAGGCUAUUUUGCUGUCUGUGUUGGGGGGUGCCAAAAGAAGCGGUAUGUGAUUCCACUAUCAUAGUUGAAGCAACCUUCAUUCCAAGAUUUGUUAAGUCGAGCUGAAGAAGAAUUCGGGGUUUGAUCAUCUCAUGGGUGCUAUCACAAUCCCGUGCUGUGAAGAUACCUUCCUUGAUCUCACCUCUUACUUAAGUGUAUGAGCAUUAGGCGGCUAACAUAUAUUUUACAGCACAGUUUUGACACCAGUUGCUGCAGAGGCUUCUGAUAAUUUCAUGGGCUCCAAUUCCAAACCGCUUGAGAGCUCAUGAUCAAAAUGGCCAGCCCAGCGGACUUAACUUCAAUGACACCAAGCCAAGAAUGUCAUAUGAAGUUGAAAGAUAUCAAGAAUGUUUAUUGAAAAUCCUUUAUACUUAUUACUUGUUCUGCAAAGAUAAUUGAUAAUAUACUAUUUUUCUUGUUCA